UUCGCUUCUUGGAUUUUUUUUACUAAGAUCAAGGGUAGUAUCUGUUCUUAUCAGUUUAAUAUCUGAUAUGUCCCCUAUCUGGAGCCUUAUAUUAAAUGGAUCUUUGGAACUAAGAGAUAGCAGUAGAGCUCGCUCUGUCUACUCCACGCAUUGGCCUGGUAUGACAGUUUCUUCAGGAGUGGUGAACCUCUC